rnacentral:rRNA from 1 species
ACGCUGGCGGCAGGCUUACACAUGCAAGUCGAGCGGGGUGAUGGUGCUUGCACUAUCACUUAGCGGCGGACGGGUGAGUAAUGCUUAGGAAUCUGCCUAUUAGUGGGGGACAACAUCUCGAAAGGGAUGCUAAUACCGCAUACGUCCUACGGGAGAAAGCAGGGGAUCACUUGUGACCUUGCGCUAAUAGAUGAGCCUAAGUCGGAUUAGCUAGUUGGUGGGGUAAAGGCCUACCAAGGCGACGAUCUGUAGCGGGUCUGAGAGGAUGAUCCGCCACACUGGGACUGAGACACGGCCCAGACUCCUACGGGAGGCAGCAGUGGGGAAUAUUGGACAAUGGGGGGAACCCUGAUCCAGCCAUGCCGCGUGUGUGAAGAAGGCCUUAUGGUUGUAAAGCACUUUAAGCGAGGAGGAGGCUCUUUUGGUUAAUACCCAAGAUGAGUGGACGUUACUCGCAGAAUAAGCACCGGCUAACUCUGUGCCAGCAGCCGCGGUAAUACAGAGGGUGCAAGCGUUAAUCGGAUUUACUGGGCGUAAAGCGCGCGUAGGCGGCCAAUUAAGUCAAAUGUGAAAUCCCCGAGCUUAACUUGGGAAUUGCAUUCGAUACUGGUUGGCUAGAGUGUGGGAGAGGAUGGUAGAAUUCCAGGUGUAGCGGUGAAAUGCGUAGAGAUCUGGAGGAAUACCGAUGGCGAAGGCAGCCAUCUGGCCUAACACUGACGCUGAGGUGCGAAAGCAUGGGGAGCAAACAGGAUUAGAUACCCUGGUAGUCCAUGCCGUAAACGAUGUCUACUAGCCGUUGGGGCCUUUGAGGCUUUAGUGGCGCAGCUAACGCGAUAAGUAGACCGCCUGGGGAGUACGGUCGCAAGACUAAAACUCAAAUGAAUUGACGGGGGCCCGCACAAGCGGUGGAGCAUGUGGUUUAAUUCGAUGCAACGCGAAGAACCUUACCUGGCCUUGACAUAGUAGAAACUUUCCAGAGAUGGAUUGGUGCCUUCGGGAU